UAAGGAAUAUUGGUCAAUGGACGCAAGUCUGAACCAGCCAUGCCGCGUGAAGGAUGAAGGUCCUCUGGAUUGUAAACUUCUUUUAUCUGGGACGAAAACGGGAUUUUUAUCUCAAUUGACGGUACCAGAGGAAUAAGCACCGGCUAACUCCGUGCCAGCAGCCGCGGUAAUACGGAGGGUGCGAGCGUUAUCCGGAUUUACUGGGUUCAAAGGGUGCGUAGGUGGGCUUAUAAGUCAGUGGUGAAAUCUCCGAGCUUAACUUGGAAACUGCCGUUGAUACUAUAGGUCUUGAAUUAUCUGGAGGUAAGCGGAAUAUGUCAUGUAGCGGUGAAAUGCUUAGAUAUGACAUAGAACACCAAUUGCGAAGGCAGCUUACUACAUAUAAAUUGACGCUGAGGCACGAAAGCGUGGGGAUCAAAC
rnacentral:rRNA from 1 species